GAUGAACGCUGGCGGCGUGCCUAAUACAUGCAAGUCGAGCGGAGCGGGGACGGGUAAGAAACACGUGGCUAACCUCAUAUGAGACUGGGAUCACUUCGGGAAACCGGAGCUAGACCGGAUACUAAUAGAUGGAUCCUCGCUGCAUUAGCUAGUUGGUACGGUAACGGCGUACCAAGGCAACGAUGCAUCGCCGACCUGAGAGGUUGAUCGGCCACACUGGAACUGAGACACGGUCCAGACUCCUACGGGAGGCAGCAGUAGGGAAUCUUCCGCAAUGGGCGAAAGCCUGACACAGCAAUGCCGCGUGAGUGAAGAAGGUCUUCGGAUCGUAAAACUCUUUUAUUAGGGAAGCGGUACCUAAUCAGAAAGCCACGGCUAACUACGUGCCAGCAGCCGCGGUAAUUC
rnacentral:rRNA from 1 species